UACGUAGGGGGCGAGCGUUGUCCGGAUUUAUUGGGCGUAAAGAGCGUGUAGGCGGCCAGGUAGGUCUGCUGUGAAAACUCGAGGCUCAACCUCGAGACGUCGGCGGAAACCAUCUGGCUAGAGUCCGGAAGAGGAGAGUGGAAUUCCUGGUGUAGCGGUGAAAUGCGCAGAUAUCAGGAAGACCAGUGGCGAAGGCGGGUCUCUGGACAGUUCCUGACGCUGAGGCACGAAGGCCAGGGGAGCAAACGGG
rnacentral:rRNA from 1 species